UACGUAGGGUCCGAGCGUUGUCCGGAAUUACUGGGCGUAAAGAGCUCGUAGGUGGUUUGUCGCGUUGUUCGUGAAAACUCACAGCUCAACUGUGGGCGUGCGGGGCGAUACGGGGCAAGACUAGAGUACUGCAGGGGAGACUGGAAUUCCUGGUGUAGCGGUGGGAAAUGCGCAGAUAUCAGGGAGGGAAACACCCGGUGGCGAAAGGGCGGGCCCACCCUUGGGACGGGUAAACUGACGCUGGAGACGCGAAAAGCGUGGGGGAGCAAACAGGG
rnacentral:rRNA from 1 species